AUUGCACGCUGGCGGCAGGCCUAACACAUGCAAUUCGAACGAGUGGCGGACGGGUGAGUAAUGUCUGGGAAACUGCCCGAUGGAGGGGGAUAACUACUGGAAACGGUAGCUAAUACCGCAUACCAUCGGAUGUGCCCAGAUGGGAUUCGCUAGUAGGUGGGGUAACGGCUCACCUAGGCGACGAUCCCUAGCUGGUCUGAUAGGAUGAGCAGUCACAAGGGAACUGAGAAAGUGUCCAGGCUCCUACGGGAGGCAGCAGUGGGGAAUAUUGCACAAUGGGCGCAAGCCUGAUGCAGCCAUGCCGCGUGUAUGAAGAAGGCCUUCGGGUUGUAAAGUACUUUCAGCGAGGAGGCGUUACUCGCAGAAGAAGCACCGGCUAACUCCGUGCCAGCAGCCGCGGUAAUUC
rnacentral:rRNA from 1 species